rnacentral:rRNA from 1 species
GACGAACGCUGGCGGCGUGCCUAAUACAUGCAAGUAGAACGCUGAAGGAAGGAGCUUGCUCUUUCUGGAUGAGUUGCGAACGGGUGAGUAACGCGUAGGUAACCUGCCUGGUAGCGGGGGAUAACUAUUGGAAACGAUAGCUAAUACCGCAUAAAAUUGAUUAUUGCAUGAUAGUCAAGUAAAAGGUGCAACUGCACCACUACCAGAUGGACCUGCGUUGUAUUAGCUAGUUGGUGGGGUACCGGCUCACCAAGGCGACGCUACGUAGCCGACCUGAGUGGGUGGUCGGCCACACUGGGACGGAGACACGGCACAGAGUCCUACGGGAGGGAGCAGGAGGGAUACUUGGGCAAGGGGCGGAAGUCUGACCGAGCAACGCGGCGGGAGUGAGGAGGGAUUUCGGGUCGUAAAGGACGGUUGUAAGGGAAUAACGAGUGUGAGAGUGGAAAGUUCACACUGUGACGGUAUCUGACCAAAAAGGGACGGCUAACUACGUG